rnacentral:tRNA from 1 species
AAGGAUUUAAGUUAAUGCAAACUUUCAACCUUCAAAGCUGAAUAUAGAUACACUAUCUAAGCCUUA